rnacentral:rRNA from 1 species
UUGGUUCAUCCAGUGGAAUCUAAAUUUGUUAAAUUUUUUCUAAUUAGAUAAUCAUUUUAAUAUUUACAGGUUGUUAUUAAAAAUAUAUAAAUUUAAAGUUAUUGAGAAAGUUUUUAGGAGAGUAAAACUUUAGUGCCAGCAUCCGCGGUCAUACUAGGUCUUCGAGCAAAUUUUGUCCAAUAGGUUAUGAAGUGUUAAUUUUUAUUAAAAUUGGUCCUUUUUGAGUGAAAUUUUAAAUGUAUUUGGUAUUAUAUAAAUUUAUUUUUCAUAUUAAAGGUUGAAUAUAAACUAGAACGAAUUUGCACGAAUAUCUUACCUUUUUAUUAUAUGUCGUCCACUGCCGUCGGAAGUUUUAGUCAUGAAGGCUUUCCUUUUUCUUUUCCACAUUUAGGUUGAGAAGUAAGUCAGGUAAAGGUGCGCAUUAUUCUAAGGUUUAGGUGUGCCUCUAUGAAGUUUUUAUUUGGAUUUGCUUUUUAAAUAUCAAUGAAAUAGAAUCUAAUAGUAAAAUUUUGUUUAUUAAACUUUUUUGAAAAUUUAUCGAUUAAGCACAGAUUGCCCGUCAGUCAUUUGAGAAAAUGAUAAGUCGAAACAUAGUUGACCUACUGGAAGG